AGACCCGAAACCCGGUGAUCUAGCCAUGGGCAGGUUGAAGGUUGGGUAACACUAACUGGAGGACCGAACCGACUAAUGUUGAAAAAUUAGCGGAUGACCUGUGGCUGGGGGUGAAAGGCCAAUCAAACCGGGAGAUAGCUGGUUCUCCCCGAAAGCUAUUUAGGUAGCGCCUCGUGAAUUCAUCUCCGGGGGUAGAGCACUGUUUCGGCUAGGGGGCCAUCCCGGCUUACCAACCCGAUGCAAACUGCGAAUACCGGAGAAUGUUAUCACGGGAGACACACGGCGGGUGCUAACGUCCGUCGUGAAGAGGGAAACAACCCAGACCGCCAGCUAAGGUCCCAAAGUCAUGGUUAAGUGGGAAACGAUGUGGGAAGGCCCAGACAGCCAGGAUGUUGGCUUAGAAGCAGCCAUCAUUUAAAGAAAGCGUAAUAGCUCACUGGUCGAGUCGGCCUGCGCGGAAGAUGUAACGGGGCUAAACCAUGCACCGAAGCUGCGGCAGCGACACUGUGUGUUGUUGGGUAGGGGAGCGUUCUGUAAGCCUGUGAAGGUGUGUCGUGAGGCAUGCUGGAGGUAUCAGAAGUGCGAAUGCUGACAUAAGUAACGAUAAAGCGGGUGAAAAGCCCGCUCGCCGGAAGACCAAGGGUUCCUGUCCAACGUUAAUCGGGGCAGGGUGAGUCGACCCCUAAGGCGAGGCCGAAAGGCGUAGUCGAUGGGAAACGGGUUAAUAUUCCCGUACUUGGUGUUACUGCGAAGGGGGGACGGAGAAGGCUAUGUUGGCCGGGCGACGGUUGUCCCGGUUUAAGCGUGUAGGUGUGUGUUCCAGGUAAAUCCGGUUCACUU
rnacentral:rRNA from 1 species